CUUGCUGUGAGUUGUCGGAAGAAGCAUUGAGUGAUGGGAGAAACGUUUGUUCUUCGGUUUCUGGCGCUGAUGUUUGGAUAUUGAAUCAGUGAACUAACGUGAGUGCCUGUUUAGUUUAAUAUCAUUUGUGGUGGCCUUUGAUUUCCAUGUUAGCGGGGGAGCACUGUAGCCGAGUUAGCCCGCCGUCGUUCUCCUGCGGAAAUGCGCCUCGUUAAACUGAUUGCACACCGCGUUCAAACCGGUACUUUCAAUGAAACGUCCGUCGAUUUUGAGCUUCUGUUAUCACAACGAAAUCUGACCGCGAGCUGACAUGAGGGAGAAGAAUGUGUAUUUUAUCAUUAUACUUUGGUAGACUCGGUGCAUUGUUUACUUGUAAUUCUCAUCUUUAACAAAGCAUAUAAAGCAGUGGAUGCAACUCAGAAAUGUCCAUAUACAUUUAUUUAUUUAUGCAUUUAAUAUUGCAGAUCAUCACCACCCAGGCAGGUGAAAGAAAUCUACGCCGGGGGAUUUGUGGUCUUCUUUUCAAUCUGAGUGACCUGUCAGGGAGCAUUCACUUCUCCAGGACCGGUCAUGACCGUUACUGAUGGUGAGAGUGGCACAAGCUACCUGCCAUGGAGGAUUAAAAACUACUCAGCAAUCUGAAGCAGGAAGCAGAUGAGCAUCACACAGAGGUUGGAACAAACAUCGUGGAAUACCUCCAGGGGGUGGAGUCCAGGCCCUAUCCAUCGGUUCUGGCCCUUGGACAAGUGACGCAAAAUUCUUUACAAGCUUUUGCUGUGAUGGCUGGUCAGUGUGCCUCUUCAUGGGAGUUCCUCCAGAAAGUGGUUUAUGACAUGGAGGGACCAGAAUCUAACGAAGUUAAGUUUUUAAAGACUGUCUUAAAGAAUGUGAAGGUGUUUAAAAAAAAUCUGAGUUCAUAAUAGUUUAUGAAAAAAAAAAA